CUAGUGAAUAAUAUUUUAAUCUAUCGAUAAAAAAUAAUAAUUUCAAAGAGAAGCAAAAACUGAAAAAGAGAGUCACCAAACCUUCAUCGAGAUAGAAUCUACGCCGACUCUGAGUUCAGCAAGGAUGACAACGUAUAUGUUCCUGAACAAACGCCCCCUUCCUUGUGGUGAUUUUUGAAAACAAAAAAGGAACGAUACUUCAUAGGAAGACGUGAACUCCUGCUGAUGUGCCUUUUUCAUGAGAAGGGAUCAAGGAAAAGAAGCCAGUUGCUGCCUUGUGGCCAGCAACUUGGUGUUUUUACGAUGCUACCGACACCGAUGUGGUACUCGAAGUUCUGAAACCGGCAAAGAAAAAACAACUGGAACUUUGUGGUGAGCAAGAAGAUCUGCACGCUUUCAAGUGAAUGAGCCAUGCCUCUUGAAGGACAGCUUCCAUGACGACCCCUGCCAGGACGAGGAUGACUUCCCCUUUCAUAUGAUGACUUCCACUUUCAUAUGAUGGCUACCAUAUAAUGAUAUCUUCUGUUGAUGAUGUCCACCUCUGGCUACUUGUUAUUGCUGUUAUUACUCCAAAUAAAGAGAAUACUAUA